AACAAAAGAAAAUAAUCAGUAAAUGAAACACUAAAAUCAGUCCAGAGCCGAAGUAGCGAAACUCUCAUCUCGGAGGCAUCGACUCGAUGUGAAGAACAGAGAAGCGCCCAAAAUCGGUCCUCUAUAGCUAGAAAUCCCAAAUAGAAACCCAAAAUCGGUCCUCUCUAGCUAGAAAUCUGUCCAGAUAAUAGAAAUCCCAAAUCGAAAUCACUAAAAAAUCUCACCCAAAUCGAAAUCCCUCAAAUCAGAAUGUGAAUUCGAUUGGGUGUUUAUGAUACUUUCCGGAAACUUUAUUUUGAAGCUAAAUCUUAAGAUUGGAAGCUGGUUUGACGAGUUUUGGUUUGAAUUUGUGAAUCAAGUUGUGCGAAGAAGAAGACUACUAGGGUCUUUCGAUUCAAAGCUUCUUCAACUUCAAGCAUUCAAGAACUUGUACACAGCUGCGGAAGCCGGCAAAGGGCAAGAAAAUAUAGAAGUGAAAUUUUAACAACUCAGAGAAAUCCUAUUACUGGAGAAUUGGACACACCAGAUAAAGUUUGGGAGAUCCAACAUACCCGCAAGGAUGAUAGAGGCGAACUGGUGUGGUUGGAUUCACAAUCCCAACAAAUUCAUGGUCAACUCCAGGAAGUUGUCGCUCAGCAACAAUCUGAGGAGAUCGAGCAUCCCAUGACUAGAGAUGAGAUUUUAUCCUCCGUUGUUGGUGAGAGAACAGGCUAUGUUCGUGGAAAAGGAUACGGAAAGAAGCCUCCUAAAAAGAGUAACAUUCAGCAGGCAAACAUAGAGGCCAGCGUGUCUUCUGCUAUUGAUAUUGUGCGUCAAGAGAUGCAAGUCGAGAUGGAUAGGAAGUUGCAAGAAGAACGUGAACAAAUGGCUGCCGAGUUGCGAAGAAAUAUGGAAAUUGAGUUGGAAAGGAAGUUGGCAGAGGAGCGUCAACACCCAAAUGAGUAGCGUCAACACGCAAAUGCAGAAGCAGACAAGAGGAUCUCUCUAGAAGUGGAGAAGAAGAUGCAGGAACAAUUUGCUAGUUUCUUGACCAGGAUGCAACAACAACAGGGACAAGGCACUUAAACAGUGGUAUCGUUCAAGGAUGGUGUCGGGCAAGGAGCAGUUACAAGGCACUUAAUAUUUUGUCAUUUUUGGGAUAUGUAUAUGCGUACAAUUACAAUGCACAAUGAAGUGUCAGGUAGUAUAUAAGUAAUUGACUUUUUAGUAAUGAUAAUAUUUAUAAUAUUCGGCUUGUGAAA